ACGCUCGACACCUACCGGAGGCAGCAGUAGGGAAUCUUCCACAAUGGACGCAAGUCUGAUGGAGCAACGCCGCGUGAGUGAAGAAGGUUUUCGGAUCGUAAAGCUCUGUUGUUGGUGAAGAAGGAUAGAGGUAGUAACUGGCCUUUAUUUGACGGUAAUCAACCAGAAAGUCACGGCUAACUACGUGCCAACAGCCGCGGUAAUCUGAGCGGGCUGGCAAGGC
rnacentral:rRNA from 1 species